rnacentral:rRNA from 1 species
UACGUAGGUGGCAAGCGUUAUCCGGAAUUAUUGGGCGUAAAGCGCGCGUAGGCGGUUUUUUAAGUCUGAUGUGAAAGCCCACGGCUCAACCGUGGAGGGUCAUUGGAAACUGGAAAUUGAGUGCAGAAGAGGAAAGUGGAAUUCCAUGUGUAGCGGUGAAAUGCGCAGAGAUAUGGAGGAACACCAGUGGCGAAGGCGACUUUCUGGUCUGUAACUGACGUGAUGUGCGAAGCGUGGGGAUCAAACAGGAUUAGAUACCCGGUGUC